UAUAUAGUGUGGGAUGUCCUGUGUAAGAACUGACCAUUGUUUUUUUCUACUUAUUUAAAAUGCGGUUGUAAUGGGGCGAUCCCCAAAGGGGAGGGGUUUCCCACUCGUAUGCGUGUAGUGGGGGAUCCCCAAGGGGGAGGGGUUUCCUCACUAUGUUUAGGUGAAUGGAGUUAGAAAUUAAGCUCGCCACCCCUUUAAAAGUGUGGAGGUUUUGCUUCCGUUAUAUCCCUGGCAUGGAAUAGUGGCAGUGUGUUGAGUGCGUGCAAACUUUUGAUGUGCGUUAAGCAUUGAGCGUUGAGCAGUAAGCCUGCAGUGUUUAGAAAAACCUGUAAUUCUGUUUCUUUGGCCUGCGGAAGUGCAAUCGCAUCAGCAAGUAACGCUACAUCCAUGUAUGAUUGGUGGAUUGCUCACCAUUUGCGUUAAGAGCCAGUUGACUGGGCUGCGGAGAGCCCGUUGCUGUUUUGCUGCUGUCUGGCGACCCGUUUGUGCUACGGAGGGGCGAUUUCACUUUCCUUCUCGGCACCUGAUUGUGUGUGACUCGGUUGCGUCAAGGCUGUGUGUGUGUGUGUGUGUGUGUGUGUGUGUGUGUGUGUGUGUGUGUGUGUGUGUGUGUGUGUG